UGUGUUUUUGAGUGAUAUAGGAUCCUAGAAUUUUUUCCAAGUAUCGUUGCCAUCUUCACUUAUACACACCCACCCACACUGACAUUAACCAUCUCUGAUUUCCCUCCCCCAAAGCCUCCGUACGAAACCCCAAAAGAUCAAAAUCAGCUUCCACAAAAUCACUCACCUGCUCAAGUAGCUAACCCCCUCAGUCCGAUGUGCAAUAGAAAACAAUGGCCGAUUCGUCUUCCCAACUACAUUGCCUUCAACUACUCGAACUGCGUGGCCCCGAACCUUGAAGAAGAUCUCCAAACUCUUCAGCAUUAUCGCUCGGACAUCGAACGCCAAUCUAACUAGGGAACUUUUUUCUUUAAGUCUCUCAAAAACUUUGCCCCUGCCCUCAAUCGAGUCUCUCACGGCCUACACGGAGGAGUACCAGACGUUCCUCGUCGAGCUCUUUCUCGUAUCGCUCCUCCUCUUCUUCAGCCAUUACAACAACCACCAGUAUUAACCCUAACCCUAACCUUACUGAUACGAAUUCGGUACCCAACUAGCUCGGUGAAACACUAAAAGAGAAGGGUAAUGCUUCAUGUCCCGAAGCUCGCUCGAUUGGGAGUGGAGCAAAAAUUCGUUGAUCUGGGGUAGGGCCUUCUUCAGGGGAGAAUAAGGAUAGAAAAGUAGACUUUAAUGGGUUUUCGAUGGAACCCGUUAAUGGAUUCGGUUCUUUGACUAGUAGUGCGAAUUCACAAGAUCUACCGGUGGAGAAAGUUGAUGAGUUGCCUAAUCCUACCUGGGAGGUAUUGGGUGAGGUGUGGAUGUGAUGAAGGUUAACCCCAAAAACUGCAUAAACUGCAUGAGCAUUGAAGGCCAAAGGAUGAAAGACACAAGGCAGUCGUGAUUAAUACAUGCCCUUUGUGAAUCACUACUACAUUGAUGGGGAUAUUUUAAGGAUUGCUGGACAUAUGAUACAAUUUUUUGGCAGGACAAAAGAUUUCCUGUAUUUGUUUAUUCUUUUUGCUACUAGUCCAACCACCAAAGAUGACAAACUACAAUGUUGAUGAGCACUGUAUUGACGUGGAGCCUCCAAUCCUUAACAGAGUGAAGGGCUCUUUGUGUUAGAAAGAAGCUCAUGUGGUACUUUAAGAGAAUAGAAGGCAUUCAAGGAGAAUGCUGCAGCAUUAUAACAUCAAGAUGGUUUACAGGCAAGC